GAUUAACGCUGGCGGCGUGCAUAACACAUGCAAGUCGAACGAUGAAACUUAGUCGACUUCUUCGGAAAGACACUAAGCGGAUUAGUGGCGAACGGGUGAGUAACGCGUGAGUACCCUGCCUUACACAAGGGGAUAGCCUUUGGAAACGAAGAAUAAUACCCUAUAAAACUAUAAAAGCACAUGCUAUAAUGGUCAAAGUGAUAGCGGUGUAAGAUGGACUUGCGUCUGAUUAGCUAGUUGGUGAGAUAAAAGCUCACCAAGGCAACGAUCAGUAGCCGGCUUGAGAGAGUGUACGGCAACAUUGGGACUGAGACAAGGCCCAGACUCCUACGGGAGGCAGCAGUGGGGAACUUUGCACAAUGGGGGAAACCCUGAUGCAGCGACGCCGCGUGAUUUAGAAGGACUUCGGGUUGUAAAAAUCUUUUGUAUAGGAAGAAAAUGACAGUACUAUAAGAAUAAGGUCCGGCUAAUUACGUG
rnacentral:rRNA from 1 species